rnacentral:rRNA from 1 species
UACGGGGGGGGGCAAGCGUUGUUCGGAAUUACUGGGCGUAAAGGGCUCGUAGGCGGCCAACUAAGUCAGACGUGAAAUCCCUCAGCUUAACUGGGGAACUGCGUCUGAUACUGGAUGGCUUGGAUUCGGGAGAGGAAUGCGGAAUUCCAGGUGUAGCGGUGAAAUGCGUAGAUAUCUGGAGGAACACCGGUGGCGAAGGCGGCAUUCUGGACCGAUAUUGACGCUGAGGAGCGAAAGCCAGGGGAGCAAACGGG